rnacentral:lncRNA from 1 species
UGCAUAUUGACUCCAGCAAUUUAACAACCUUUGAAGGCAUGAUAAAUAAUUGAGCCCAGUAAGCUUGAACACCAAAUAUAACUGAUUGCACCAACUAGCUUCUGCCUGCAUAGGAUAGAUAUCUAGCUGCCCAGGAAGUAAUUCUAGCAGAAAUCCUAUCAACCAGAGGUUGCCAUUGAGCAACUGUCAGCUUUUUGGUAGUUAAAGGUACUCCCAAAUAUUUGAAAGGGAUAUCCCCUCUAACAUAACCAAGCUGAUCAAGAAUUUGUUGUUGAAUCACAGGAGAAACCCCACCAAAAUACACAGCACUUUUAUGUAAAUUUGCUUUAAGACCAGUAGCUGCAAGGAACUGAGAGAAAAAUAAGAACAUAGAACUUACUGACN